UACGUAGGGGGCAAGCGUUGUCCGGAUUCAUUGGGCGUAAAGAGCGUGUAGGCGGCCAGGUAGGUCGGUUGUGAAAACUGGAGGCUCAACCUUCAGAGGUCGACCGAAACCAUCUGGCUAGAGUCCGGGAGAGGAGAGUGGAAUUCCUGGUGUAGCGGUGAAAUGCGCUGAUAUCAGGAAGAACACCCGUGGCGAAAGCGGCUCUCUGGAACGGUACUGACGCUGAGACGCGAAAGCGUGGGGAGCGAACAGG
rnacentral:rRNA from 1 species